GGAUAACCUGCCCUUGGGACCGGCAUAACCCCGGGAAACUGGGGAUAAUUCCGGAUAACGCACAUAUGCUGGAAUGCUUUCUGCGUAAAAUGGAUUCGUCCGCCCAAGGAUGGGUCUGCGGCCUAUCAGGUAGUAGUGGGUGUAAUGUACCUACUAGCCUACAACGGGUACGGGUUGUGAGAGCAAGAGCCCGGAGAUGGAUUCUGAGACAUGAAUCCAGGCCCUACGGGGCGCAGCAGGCGCGAAAACUUUACAAUGCGGGAAACCGUGAUAAGGGGACACCGAGUGCUAGCAUCAUAUGCUGGCUGUCCAGGUGUGUAAAAUACACCUGUUAGCAAGGGCCGGGCAAGACCGGUGCCAGCCGCCGCGGUAACACCGGCGGCCCGAGUGGUGAUCGUGAUUAUUGGGUCUAAAGGGUCCGUAGCCGGUUUGGUCAGUCCUCCGGGAAAUCUGAUAGCUCAACUAUUAGGCUUUCGGGGGAUACUGCCAGGCUUGGAACCGGGAGAGGUAAGAGGUACUACAGGGGUAGGAGUGAAAUCUUGUAAUCCCUGUGGGACCACCUGUGGCGAAGGCGUCUUACCAGAACGGGUUCGACGGUGAGGGACGAAAGCUGGGGGCACGAACCGGAUUAGAUACCCGGGUAGUCCCAGCCGUAAACGAUGCUCGCUAGGUGUCAGGCAUGGCGCGACCGUGUCUGGUGCCGCAGGGAAGCCGUGAAGCGAGCCACCUGGGAAGUACGGCCGCAAGGCUGAAACUUAA
rnacentral:rRNA from 1 species